rnacentral:ncRNA from 2 species
GUUCAUCUUCAGGGCAGGGUGCGAUUCCCGACCGGCGGUAAUAGUCCGUGACCUACUCGUUUGAGUAGUUGAUUCGGUGUAACUCCGAAACCGACAGUAAAGUCUGGUAUAAAGAAGAUUGGG